AGGAUUAUAAUUAAUUAUAAUAUUUGAAUUGCAAUCAAAAAGUAUUCACUAUAAGUGAAUUAAUCUUU
rnacentral:tRNA from 1 species